rnacentral:rRNA from 1 species
UGUAAGCGUAUACCAAAGUUGUUGCAGAUAAAACGCUCGUAGUCGGAAUUUGGCAGUUCCGGAUGUGUGCACGUCGUGUGCGCACUUCGCGGGGAUUGCUUUUGUGGUCUUGCGUAGGAUGAGGCACUUUUAUUAGUGAACGUCCUCACGCAACCACUUUUUACUGUGAGAAAAUCAGAGUGCUCAAAGCAGGCAUUUGCCGUGAAUGUAUUAGCAUGGAAUAAUAGAAUAGGACUUGGUUCUAUUUUGUUGGUUUGUUGGGACUGAGUAAUGAUUAAGAGGGACAGUUGGGGGCAUUUGUAUUUCGGUGCUAGAGGUGAAAUUCUUAGAUUACCGAAAGACAAACUGCUGCGAAAGCGUCUGCCAAGGAUGUUUUCAUUGA